rnacentral:rRNA from 1 species
CUUAGAAGCAGCCACCCUUGAAAGAGUGCGUAAUAGCUCACUGGUCAAGUGAUUCCGCGCCGACAAUGUAGCGGGGCUCAAGUACACCGCCGAAGCUGUGGCAGUCACGCGUACGCCUGGCCUUGCGGUCCAGGCGCGUGGCUGGGUAGGGGAGCGUCGUGUGGCGGGAGAAGCAGCGGGGUGACCCAGCUGUGGACGCCACACGAGUGAGAAUGCAGGCAUGAGUAGCGAAAGACGGGUGAGAAACCCGUCCGCCGAAUGACCAAGGGUUCCAGGGCCAGGUUAAUCCGCCCUGGGUAAGUCGGGACCUAAGGCGAGGCCGACAGGCGUAGUCGAUGGACAACGGGUUGAUAUUCCCGUACCGGCUUUGGUGCGCCCAUGCUGACCCCGGUGAUGCUAACCGCCCGAACCGUGUGGCCCGCCUUCGGGUGAGCCGCGUGGGGAGCGCGGGACCCGAACCGGUAGUAGGCAAGCAAUGGGGUGACGCAGGAAGGCAGCCCAACCCGGGCGAUGGUUGUCCCGGGGUAACGGUGUAGGGCGCGUGGUAGGCAAAUCCGCCACGCACACGCCUGAGACCGGAUGCCGAGCCGAUUGCGGCGAAGUGGGUGAUCCUAUGCUGCCGAGAAAAGCCUCUAGCGAGUGCCAAGGCCGCCCGUACCCCAAACCGACACAGGUGGUCAGGUAGAGAAUACCAAGGCGAUCGAGUGAACCAUGGUUAAGGAACUCGGCAAAAUCCCCCCGUAACUUCGGGAGAAGGGGGGCCGGAUUCGUGUAGUCCUUCGCGGACGAAGCGAUGAAGGCCGCAGAGACCAGGCCCAAGCGACUGUUUACUAAAAACACAGGUCCGUGCGAAGUCGCAAGACGAUGUAUACGGACUGACGCCUGCCCGGUGCUGGAACGUUAAGGGGACGGGUCAGCCCUUCGGGGCGAAGCUCAGAACUUAAGCGCCAGUAAACGGCGGUGGUAACUAUAACCAUCCUAAGGUAGCGAAAUUCCUUGUCGGGUAAGUUCCGACCUGCACGAAUGGCGUAACGACUUGGGCGCUGUCUCAACCAUGGACUCGGCGAAAUUGCACUACGAGUAAAGAUGCUCGUUACCCGCAGCAGGACGGAAAGACCCCGGGACCUUUACUACAGCUUGGUAUUGGUGUUCGGUUCGGCUUGUGUAGGAUAGGUGGGAGACUGUGAAGUCGGCACGCCAGUGUCGGUGGAGUCAACGUUGAAAUACCACUCUGGUCGUACUGGAUAUCUAACCUCGGUCCGUGAUCCGGAUCAGGGACAGUGCCUGGUGGGUAGUUUAACUGGGGCGGUUGCCUCCUAAAGUGUAACGGAGGCGCCCAAAGGUUCCCUCAGCCUGGUUGGCAAUCAGGUGGCGAGUGCAAGUGCACAAGGGAGCUUGACUGUGAGACAGACAUGUCGAGCAGGUGCGAAAGCAGGGACUAGUGAUCCGGCAGUGGCUUGUGGAAGCGCUGUCGCUCAACGGAUAAAAGGUACCCCGGGGAUAACAGGCUGAUCUUGCCCAAGAGUCCAUAUCGACGGCAUGGUUUGGCACCUCGAUGUCGGCUCGUCGCAUCCUGGGGCCGGAGUAGGUCCCAAGGGUUGGGCUGUUCGCCCAUUAAAGCGGUACGCGAGCUGGGUUUAGAACGUCGUGAGACAGUUCGGUCCCUAUCCGCUGCGGGCGCAGGAGACUUGAGAAGGGCUGUCCCUAGUACGAGAGGACCGGGACGGACGAACCUCUGGUGUGCCAGUUGUUCCGCCAGGAGCACGGCUGGUUGGCUACGUUCGGAAGAGAUAACCGCUGAAAGCAUCUAAGCGGGAAGCUCGCUUC